CCCUUAGAUGUUCUGGGCCGCACGCGUGCUACACUGACCGGCGCAACAAGCUUUUUUCCUUGGCUCGAGAGGCCUGGGCAACCUUUGAACGCCAGUCGUGCUGGGGAUAGAUUCUUGCAAUUAUUAAUCUUCAACGAGGAAUUCCUAGUAAACGCAAGUCAUCAGCUUGCAUUGAUUACGUCCCUGCCCUUUGUACACACCGCCCGUCGCACCUACCGAUUGAAUGGUCCGGUGAAAUCCUCGGAUCGAGCCGUGGGGCAACUCCGGUUCGAGAAGUUGAUUAAACCUUACCAUUUAGAGGAAGGUGAAGUCGUAACA
rnacentral:rRNA from 1 species